CAGCAGCCGCGGUAAUACCGGCGGCUCGAGUGGUGGCCACUUUUAUUGGGCUUAAAGCGUUCGUAGCUGGGUUGUUAAGUCUCUUGGGAAAUCUGACGGCUUAACCGUCAGGCGUCUAAGAGAUACUGGCAAUCUUGGAACCGGGAGAGGUGAGGGGUACUUCGGGGGUAGGAGUGAAAUCCUGUAAUCCUCGAGGGACCACCUGUGGCGAAGGCGCCUCACCAGAACGGCUUCGACAAUGAGGGACGAAAGCGGGGGGGGCAAACCGGAUUAGAUACCCGGGUAGGCCCAGCCGUAAACGAUGCGCGUUAGGUGUAUCGGUGACCACGAGUCACCGAGGUGCCGAAGGGAAACUGUGAAACGUGCCGCCUGGGAAGUACGGUCGCAAGGCUGAAACUUAAAGGAAUUGGCGGG
rnacentral:rRNA from 1 species